UACGUAGGGUGCGAGCGUUAAUCGGAAUUACUGGGCGUAAAGCGUGCGCAGGCGGUUCGUUGUGUCCGAUGUGAAAGCCCCGAGCUCAACUUGGGAAUGGCAUUGGAAACUGGCGAGCUGGAGUGUGGCAGAGGGGGGUGGAAUUCCCAGUGUAGAGGUGAAAUUCGUAGAUAUUGGGAAGAACACCGGUGGCGAAGGCGGCUCACUGGCUCGUUUCUGACGCUGAGGCGCGAAAGCGUGGGGAGCAAACAGG
rnacentral:rRNA from 1 species